AGGUUAAGUUAACAAGGGCGCAUGGUGAAUGCCUUGGCACUAGGAGCCGAUGAAGGACGGGACUAACACCGAUAUGCUUCGGGGAGCUGUACGUAAGCUAUGAUCCGGAGAUUUCCGAAUGGGGCAACCCAGCAGUUUUAAUCAACUGUUACCACUAGAUGAAUUCAUAGUCUAGUUGGAGGUAAACGCUGUGAACUGAAACAUCUCAUUAGCAGCAGGAAUAUAAAGAAAUUUCGAUUCCCUAAGUAGCGGCGAGCGAACGGGGAACAGCCCAAACCAAAGUGCUUGCACUUUGGGGUUGUAGGACUGAACAUUUGAGUUACCAAAGAACUUGAUAGUCGAAGGAUUUGGGAAAAUCCGCCAUAGAUGGUGAUAGCCCAGUAGAUUAAAUCAAAUUCUCUCAGUUCAGGAUCCUGAGUACGGCGGAACACGUGAAAUUCCGUCGGAAUCCGGGAGGACCAUCUCCCAAGGCUAAAUACUACCUAGUGACCGAUAGUGAACCAGUACCGUGAGGGAAAGGUGAAAAGCACCCCGGGAGGGGAGUGAAAUAGUUCCUGAAACCAUGUGCCUACAAUAAGUCAGAGCGCGUUAAUGCGUGAUGGCGUGCCUUUUGUAGAAUGAACCGGCGAGUUAUGAUCCCGUGCAAGGUUAAGACUAAAAAGUCGGAGCCGUAGCGAAAGCGAGUCUGAAAUGGGCGAUUUGAGUACGAGGUUAUAGACCCGAAACCAGGUGACCUAUCCAUGUCCAGGUUGAAGGUGCGGUAAAACGCACUGGAGGACCGAACCCGUGUAAGUUGAAAAUUGCUGGGAUGAGGUGUGGAUAGCGGUGAAAUUCCAAACGAACUUGGAGAUAGCUGGUUCUCUCCGAAAUAGCUUUAGGGCUAGCCUCGGAUUAAGGAUCAUGGAGGUAGAGCACUAUUUGGACUAGGGGCCCGUCUUGGGUUACUGAAUUCAGAUAAACUCCGAAUGCCAUUGAUUCAUGUCCGGGAGUCAGACGAUGAGUGAUAAGAUCCACCGUCGAAAGGGGAACAGCCCAGACCAUCAGUUAAGGUCCCUAAAUGUAUGCUAAGUGGAAAAGGAUGUGGAGUUGCAUAGACAACUAGGAUGUUGGCUCAGAAGCAGCCACCAUUUAAAGAGUGCGUAAUAGCUCACUAGUCGAGUGAUCCUGCGCCGAAAAUGUACCGGGGCUAAGCAUACUACCGAAACCAUGGAUGCGACCAUUAGGUCGCGUGAUAGGAGAGCGUUCUAAGGGCGGUGAAGCAAGAUCGUGAGGACUUGUGGAGCGCUUAGAAGUGAGAAUGCCGGUAUGAGUAGCGAAAGAUAGGUGAGAAUCCUAUCCACCGAAUGACUAAGGUUUCCUGGGGAAGGCUCGUCCUCCCAGGGUUAGUCGGGACCUAAGUCGAGGCCGAGAGGCGUAGACGAUGGAUAACAGGUUGAGAUUCCUGUACUAGUUAAGUGCGUUUGAGCAAUGGAGGGACGCAGGAGGCUAAGAUGUGCAUUCUGUUGGAUUAGAAUGUCCAAGCAGUAAGUCUUGUGGAGAGUCAAAUGCUUUUCACUUUAAGGACAAGCUGUGAUGGGGAGCGAAAUUUAGUAGCGAAGCGUCUGAUGUCACACUGCCGAGAAAAGCUUCUAGUGAGUACUUAACUACCCGUACCGCAAACCGACACAGGUAGUCGAGGAGAGAAUCCUAAGGUGAGCGAGUGAACUCUCGUUAAGGAACUCGGCAAAAUGACCCCGUAACUUCGGGAGAAGGGGUGCUGAUCGCAAGAUCAGCCGCAGUGAAUAGGCCCAGGCGACUGUUUAUCAAAAACACAGGUCUCUGCAAAAUCGUAAGAUGACGUAUAGGGGCUGACGCCUGCCCGGUGCUGGAAGGUUAAAAGGAUGGGUUAGCUUCGGCGAAGCUCAGAAUUGAAGCCCCAGUAAACGGCGGCCGUAACUAUAACGGUCCUAAGGUAGCGAAAUUCCUUGUCGGGUAAGUUCCGACCCGCACGAAAGGCGUAACGAUCUGGGCACUGUCUCAACGAGAGACUCGGUGAAAUUAUAUUGUCCGUGAAGAUGCGGACUACCCGCGACAGGACGGAAAGACCCCAUGGAGCUUUACUGUAGCUUGAUAUUGAGUGUUUGUACAGCUUGUACAGGAUAGGUAGGAGCCAUAGAAACCGGAACGCUAGUUUCGGUGGAGGCGUUGGUGGGAUACUACCCUCGCUGUAUGACCACUCUAACCCGCACCACUAAUCGUGGUGGGAGACAGUGUCAGGUGGGCAGUUUGACUGGGGCGGUCGCCUCCUAAAAAGUAACGGAGGCGCCCAAAGGUUCCCUCAGAAUGGUUGGAAAUCAUUCGCAGAGUGUAAAGGCACAAGGGAGCUUGACUGCGAGACAGACAGGUCGAGCAGGGACGAAAGUCGGGCUUAGUGAUCCGGUGGUACCGUAUGGAAGGGCCAUCGCUCAACGGAUAAAAGCUACCCUGGGGAUAACAGGCUUAUCUCCCCCAAGAGUCCACAUCGACGGGGAGGUUUGGCACCUCGAUGUCGGCUCAUCGCAUCCUGGGGCUGUAGUCGGUCCCAAGGGUUGGGCUGUUCGCCCAUUAAAGCGGUACGCGAGCUGGGUUCAGAACGUCGUGAGACAGUUCGGUCCCUAUCCGUCGCGGGCGUAGGAAAUUUGAGAGGACCUGUCCUUAGUACGAGAGGACCGGGAUGGACAUACCUCUGGUGUACCAGUUGUGCCGCCAGGCGCAUCGCUGGGUAGCUACGUAUGGAUGUGAUAAACGCUGAAAGCAUCUAAGUGUGAAACACACCUCGAGAUGAGAUUUCCCAUUCCUUUAUGGAAGUAAGACCCCUGAAAGAUGAUCAGGUAGAUAGGUUAGAAGUGGCAGUGCGGUGACGCAUGAAGCGGACUAAUACUAAUCGGUCGAGGACUUAACCAAG
rnacentral:rRNA from 2 species